CUUUACUGACAGCCUGCAUAAUAACUUGUUUAGAAGACAACAGCAUAGCAGAAUCUCUGACAACUCAUUAAGGAAGAUACAGUAGAUUUCUGCCAAAUAUCACUCGCACUUUAAAGUGAACUAACAGCGCUCUUUGUCAUGAUGGGAGAAGGAAGAGAUGGUGCUGAAAACUGCUGCCUCCUGUCAAGCAGCAUAAUGGCUCUGCAUGGACUUUAAAGAGAGAUUAAGUGACACAUCAACGUACAGAGUCUCUGCAGCGCGCUGCCUUGGUACAUGCUGUUCCCUCUGCAGGGAAUGCCUUGCUCUCCCUUCUCUGCCAGCCUUUCCAGAGCCAGCCUCAAUGAUCUAUUCAAUGCACUUCCUUCCCUGUCUCCCCCGGCAUCACGCCCUCUUCUGAGCUCAGAGCAUUUUUUCCCCUACUUCUGUUUUAGCAAUUAACAUGUUGCAAUGUAGUCUGCGUAAUUUUUUGUCUGUCUUGACUCAACUAGAAGCUUCUUGAACAGAGGGACCAGAGAGUACUUAUUCAUCUUUGCACCCUUGGCACCUACAACAGUGCCUCGCCAAGAGUGGGUGUUAGGUUACUGAUUACUAAAUGACUUGCCUACCACAGUAUGUCUCUUUUCUCAUUUGGGCUCAGACCUACUUAGAGUGUGGUGAUUGCGAUCAUGGAAACCAAUGACAAGUCCAGCUCUGCUAAUUUUUGACAUGGAGCCUCUUCAUUUCUGUAAAAUGGAUUUGGAGUGGCACCUACCUCAUGGAAGUUGAGAAUUUCUCAGCUUGGGGAGAAGUUCAGUGAAGACUGCUGGGAGAUAUCAGAAGACCUGUGUGUUCCUGAAAGCUGGCUCCACUCACGCUGUUGCUUGGACAAACAGACUUUCUUUCUGCCUCAAGUUACAUCUUCUUUUCAUUGAGUUAAUCCACAGUGCCUGAAAGAACGCCUGGCACAGAGAGGGAACCCAAUCAGUACUGACUGAAUAAAUGAGUGAGUGUUGGAGUUCCCGUCGUGGCUCAGUGGUUAACGAAUCUGACUAGGA